ACCACGCUAGCCAUAAUGGCGGAUGCCAUAAAAAAGUUUGACAAGAACUGUGCCCUACGCUGAACUGAAAUUGACGAAAUUAUUCUUAGCAAGCUACGAUAUCUUAAAAAAACCGUGUUGUUGUUCGCUGUCAGACGAGAUUUUUUCGCUUCAAUUUCUUUUUUCAUUCCAUCACUUACGAUUUUCUUUUUUUUUAGGAAAUGGUACUCGAGUUUCAGUGAUCGCAUUCCUUAUAGUGACCGGAAGUUAAACCUACAUCAAAACCAAACAUAAAAUCAGCUUCCGUAUCCACACCGUAUCCUGGCAUUCGUUUGGCUUGUAAUACGAAUAAAAUAGUGGCCCAAUGCUGCUUCUCGAGAACGUUAUGGUUUACAAACUUAGGAACGCUUACAGAUGAACCUUGAGUUGACCUUAUGUUCUACUUAACCCAGAACAUAUCGUUUGCGUAUCAAAUACAUUGAAGUAGAGAUUUCCCCGGACAGGGACAGGUCGACGCCGCAUGAUCCAUGGCAGGGCAUAGUGGAAAACUAUAAUUUCGUUAGAUAGAAAUAUAUGUCUGGGACCUAGACGUGGAUUUUUCGGGGCUUGACCCUGUCUGGUCUAAUAAGCAAAGCGCUUGAGGCUCCCCUUUUCUAAUAAUUAAAGACAAAAAUGGGCAUUUUAAAAAAAUCCCUCCGUCCUCCCUGACGUUCAGGCGUCUCAGUUGUGGUCAAUAUCGUUAACUAUCAAAACCAUCGAAAUACAUUUCCUCUUUGCUUAUACCUCAUAUGGAAAGAAUUGUAAUAUGAGUAGCUCAAAAAGGUAGUGGCGGCAAUUAUCCAUACGCUCUGCGAAAAUAAUAGGCAAUCUAUACCUGCUCAAAUAUUUGGUACAUUCGGAGUUGACAACAACGAACCCAGCUUUCCAAUCAAAGAAAAUGUUGCUUGAUAUUGGCUUCUUGGUCGCUUAGAUGACAGUCAGUGGGCGAAGAGAAUUUUGUAAUUUUCCUAUGAAGAUUUCUGUUUGUGAGGGCUAGUUAGAAUUCACGUGAUUCUUCAUGAUUGGUAUGGGGUUUAAGAGAUUCUUGAUUAUUAGGUAUUUGGGACAAUUUCAAUGAGAAUUUUUGAGGAUUUUGAAUUAUGGAGUUCAACGAUGCACCUAAGGGAACUGACGAAAAUGCGCGCUCCUUUGCCUAACUCAUCAAAAUCGUUUCAACGGACAAUGCUCCAAAAUUAUUUCACGGGAUCCAGUUUCAUAUUCAGUUACACUAAACCUAAAAUAAAAUGCAAA